CGGGAGCCGACCCGGCGGCGCGGGGCAAGCAGCGCAGCGGCGCUCCGCGACAAAGGUCUUUAUUCGCAGCCCCGGCGGCGGAGGGCCCCGGGCGGCCGCGCUGCGGGCGCUGGGAGGACGCGGCCCCGGCCCGGCGCGCCGUGGCGAGGAACGAGUCCGUACCGUGGUGUGCCGGGAGCUGCGGCUGUGGCACGGGGGAGAGCCUUUCUCCCCGCUCAGUCCUCGCGAGCCGCUGCCUAUAGCUCGUCGGUGGGGCUGUGGGGGAGCGGGGCGGCUUCCUGCACCCCGCUCUCCUCCUCCGGGAGGCUCCUGGCGCCCUCGCUUUGCUCCUUCCCCUCUUUCUUCUUCUUCUUCCCGCUCUUCUUCUUGCUCGGCUUCUCCCCCGCGCUCGCCAAGUCUCCCUUCUUGCCGGUCCACUUCUCUGCUAAGCAGCUGGCAUCCUUCCCUUUCAGCACGCGGUCAGCACAGAGGAACUGGGAGAGAUCUUCGGUCUGGUGGUGCCGGUACCAGUCCUCGAUCACGUCUUCGUACUCCUCCACCAGCACGUCGCACUGCUUCUUGAGAUCCGCCACCUCGGCAGAGGUCUCGUUCCACAGCUCGUAGGGAAUGUCCAUCACCACCUUGACGCCUUUGUGCACCAGGUUGUGCAGGGUCUCAAACGUCUCCGACAUACCCUUUGCAAAUCUGUUGCUGCCGCUCCUUUCCUUGUGCAGGUUGUAGUCCAACAGCCUCUUGCAAAUGUUCUCUGUCACCUCAAUGAGCCGGAUGUCCGACUGUGUGUACUUGACGGCAGCCCCCUUCCCAUCCAAGAAGCCAUACUUGGUGUCGAUCACCUCCUUGGUCUUGCCGGUCUCUUCAAAGGCGGAUUUCAGCUCCAGUGCCACAUAUUUGCACACCUCGCACUUGCUGGGCAGCCGCACCCAGUCCGCGUCGUCGCCGCCCGCCACCGCCACCAGCAGCAGCAGCAGCAGCAGCGCGGCGGGGCCCUCCGCCGCCAUGGCUCCGCUUCCGGGCCUGCGCUCCGCCCCCGUCGCCACGGCAACGCGCCGCC
rnacentral:lncRNA from 1 species